rnacentral:rRNA from 1 species
GAUGAACGCUGGCGGCGUGCCUAAUACAUGCAAGUCGAGCGAACAGACGAGGAGCUUGCUCCUCUGACGUUAGCGGCGGACGGGUGAGUAACACGUGGAUAACCUACCUAUAAGACUGGGAUAACUUCGGGAAACCGGAGCUAAUACCGGAUAAUAUAUUGAACCGCAUGGUUCAAUAGUGGAAGACGGUUUUGCUGUCACUUAUAGAUGGAUCCGCGCCGCAUUAGCUAGUUGGUAAGGUAACGGCUUACCAAGGCAACGAUGCGUAGCCGACCUGAGAGGGUGAUCGGCCACACUGGAACUGAGACACGGUCCAGACUCCUACGGGAGGCAGCAGUAGGGAAUCUUCCGCAAUGGGCGAAAGCCUGACGGAGCAACGCCGCGUGAGUGAUGAAGGUCUUCGGAUCGUAAAACUCUGUUAUUAGGGAAGAACAAAUGUGUAAGUAACUAUGCACGUCUUGACGGUGCCUAAUCAGAAAGCCACGGCUAACUACGUG